GCCUGAGAUCCGAUAGGCGCCCCCCUCGGGGGGUGAUUCGGUGAUCCUAUGCUGCCAAGAAAAGCAUCGACGCGAGGUUUUAGCCGCCCGUACCCCAAACCGACACAGGUGAUCAGGUAGAGAAUACUAAGGCGAUCGAGAGAAUCAUGGUUAAGGAACUCGGCAAAAUGCCCCCGUAACUUCGGGAGAAGGGGGGCCUGCCCCGUGACCGCCACUUGCUGGCGUGAGCGGGUGUGGGCCGCAGAGACCAGGGGGAAGCGACUGUUUACUAAAAACACAGGUCCGUGCGAAGUCGCAAGACGAUGUAUACGGACUGACUCCUGCCCGGUGCUGGAAGGUUAAGAGGACCGGUUAGCGCGCUUGCGUGCGAAGCUGAGAAUUUAAGCCCCAGUAAACGGCGGUGGUAACUAUAACCAUCCUAAGGUAGCGAAAUUCCUUGUCGGGUAAGUUCCGACCUGCACGAAUGGAGUAACGACUUCCCCGCUGUCUCAACCAUGAACUCGGCGAAAUUGCACUACGAGUAAAGAUGCUCGUUACGCGCAGCAGGACGGAAAGACCCCGAGACCUUUACUAUAGUUUGGUAUUGGUGUUCGGUGCAGCUUGUGUAGGAUAGGUGGGAGACGUUGAAGCCCGGACGCCAGUUCGGGUGGAGUCAUCGUUGAAAUACCACUCUGGCUGUACCGGUCACCUAACUUCGGCCCAUGAUCUGGGUCAGGGACAGUGCCUGAUGGGUAGUUUAACUGGGGCGGUUGCCUCCUAAAGAGUAACGGAGGCGCCCAAAGGUUCCCUCAGCCUGGUUGGCAAUCAGGUGUCGAGUGUAAGUGCACAAGGGAGCUUGACUGUGAGAGCGACAGCUCGAGCAGGGACGAAAGUCGGGACUAGUGAUCCGGCGGCACGUUGUGGAACGGCCGUCGCUCAACGGAUAAAAGGUACCUCGGGGAUAACAGGCUGAUCUUGCCCAAGAGUCCAUAUCGACGGCAUGGUUUGGCACCUCGAUGUCGGCUCGUCGCAUCCUGGGGCUGGAGUAGGUCCCAAGGGUUGGGCUGUUCGCCCAUUAAAGCGGUACGCGAGCUGGGUUUAGAACGUCGUGAGACAGUUCGGUCCCUAUCCGCUGCGCGCGCAGGAAAUUUGAGAAG
rnacentral:rRNA from 1 species